GACGAACGCUGGCGGCGUGCUUAACACAUGCAAGUCGAACGGAAAGGCCCUGCUUUUGUGGGGUGCUCGAGUGGCGAACGGGUGAGUAACACGUGAGUAACCUGCCCUUGACUUUGGGAUAACUUCAGGAAACUGGGGCUAAUACCGGAUAGGAGCUCCUGCUGCAUGGUGGGGGUUGGAAAGUUUCGGCGGUUGGGGAUGGACUCGCGGCUUAUCAGCUUGUUGGUGGGGUAGUGGCUUACCAAGGCUUUGACGGGUAGCCGGCCUGAGAGGGUGACUGGCCACAUUGGGACUGAGAUACGGCCCAGACUCCUACGGGAGGCAGCAGUGGGGAAUAUUGCAGAAUGGGCGGAAGCCUGAUGCAGCAACGCCGCGUGCGGGAUGACGGCCUUCGGGUUGUAAACCGCUUUCGCCUGUGACGAAGCGUGAGUGACGGUAAUGGGUAAAGAAGCACCGGCUAACUACGUG
rnacentral:rRNA from 1 species